GACGAACGCUGGCGGCGUGCUUAACACAUGCAAGUCGAACGGAAAGGCCCUGCUUUCGUCGGGUGCUCGAGUGGCGAACGGGUGAGUAACACGUGAGUAUCCUGCCCUGGACUUUGGGAUAACUUCAGGCAACUGGGGCUAAUACCGGCUACGAGCUCCUGCUGCAUGGUGGGGGUUGGAAAGUUUCGGCGGAGGGGGAUGGACGUGCGGGUUAUCAGCUUGUUGGUGGGGUAGUGGCUUACCAAGGCAUUGACGGGUAGCCGGCCUGGGAGGGUGAACGGCGACAUUGGGCCUGAGAGACGGCCCAGAGUCCUACGGGAGGCAGCAGGGGGGAAUAUUGCACAGUGGGCGGAAGCCUGAUGCAGCAACGCCGCGUGCGGGAUGACGGCCUUCGGGUUGUAAACCGCUUUCGCCUGUGACGAAGCGUGAGUGACGGUAAUGGGUAAAGAAGCACCGGCUAACUACGUG
rnacentral:rRNA from 1 species